rnacentral:rRNA from 1 species
GAUCAUGGCUCAGGAUGAACGCUAGCUACAGGCUUAACACAUGCAAGUCGAGGGGAAACGACAUCGAAAGCUUGCUUUUGAUGGGCGUCGACCGGCGCACGGGUGAGUAACGCGUAUCCAACCUGCCCACCACUUGGGGAUAACCCUGCGAAAGUAAGACUAAUACCCAAUGACGUCUCUAGAAGACAUCUGAAAGAGAUUAAAAGAUUUAUCGGUGAUGGAUGGGGAUGCGUCUGAUUAG